GUGAAUCAUCGAAUCUUUGAACGCAAAUUGCGCCUUUUUGGGAUGGCAUGUCUGUUUGAGGGCACCAUUUAACAAAUAAUGUGCAUUUCGUGUGCACACGUUGAUGAGCUUUCCAUAAUUAUGUAUUAUUAUUUUUGUUGGCGCAUAAUAAACAGCGCGAGGCUUUGUUCAGUUCGAGUGUAGUAAAAUUUUUUCUUGCUUGGGUUGUGAAAAAGCGUGAUAGCGCAAUGGGUGUGGCAAUUUUAGUUAAUCCCUGCCUCAAG
rnacentral:misc_RNA from 1 species